rnacentral:rRNA from 1 species
GGGGAAUAUUGCGCAAUGGGGGAAACCCUGACGCAGCAACGCCGCGUGAGUGAUGAAGGCUUUCGAGUCGUAAAACUCUGUCUUUGGGGACGAAUAAUGACGGUACCCAAGGAGGAAGCCCCGGCUAACUACGUGCCAGCAGCCGCGGUAAUACGUAGGGGGCAAGCGUUGUCCGGAAUCACUGGGCGUAAAGGGCGCGUAGGCGGUUUGUUAAGUCAGGUGUGAAAGUUUUCAGCUUAACUGGAAAAGUGCACUUGAAACUAACUUACUUGAGUACUGGAGAGGUAAGCGGAAUUCCUAGUGUAGCGGUGAAAUGCGUAGAUAUUAGGAAGAACACCGGUGGCGAAGGCGGCUUACUGGACAGAGACUGACGCUGAGGCGCGAAAGCGUGGGGAGCGAAC